rnacentral:rRNA from 1 species
UUACACAUGCAGUCGAACGGCAGCACGGGGGCACCCUGGUGGCGAGUGGCGAACGGGUGAGUAAUACAUCGGAACGUGUCCUGUAGUGGGGGAUAGCUCGGGAAAGCCGGAUUAAUACGACACGCUCUACGGAGGAAAAGGGGGGAUCUUCGGACCUCGCGCUAAAGGGCGGGCGAUGGCAGAUUAGCUAGUUGGUGGGGGUAAAGGCUACCAAGGCGACGAUCUGUAGCUGGUCUGAAAAGGACGAACCAGCCACACUGGGACUGAGACACGGCCCAGACUCCUACGGGAGGCAGCAGUGGGGAAUUUUGGACAAUGGGCGAAAGCCUGAUCCAGCAAUGCCGCGUGUGUGAAGAAGGCCUUCGGGUUGUAAAGCACUUUUGUCAGGGAAGAAAAGGAUUCCACUAAUACUGGAGUCUGAUGACGGUACCUGAAGAAUAAGCACCGGCUAACUACGUGCCAGCAGCCGCGGUAAUACGUAGGGUGCAAGCGUUAAUCGGAAUUACUGGGCGUAAAGCGUGCGCAGGCGGUUUGUUAAGACGGAUGUGAAAUCCCCGGGCUCAACCUGGGAACUUGCAUUCGUGAACUGGCAGGCUAGAGUA